UGGGAAUCUGCCCUUGGGUUCGGGAUAACAGUUGGAAACGACUGCUAAUACCGGAUGAUGACUUCGGUCCAAAGAUUUAUCGCCCAGGGAUGAGCCCGCGUCGGAUUAGCUAGUUGGUGAGGUAAAGGCCUACCAAGACAACGAUCCGUAGCUGGUCUGAGAGGAUGGCCCCCCCANAUUGGGACUGAGAUACGGCCCAGACUCCUACGGGAGGCAG
rnacentral:rRNA from 1 species